rnacentral:rRNA from 1 species
GGCAAAGACCGCGAGGUGGAGCAAAUCUCAAAAAGACCGUCCCAGUUCGGAUUGCAGGCUGCAACCCGCCUGCAUGAAGUUGGAAUCGCUAGUAAUCGCGGAUCAGCAUGCCGCGGUGAAUACGUUCCCGGGCCUUGUACACACCGCCCGUCACACCAUGAGAGUCGGGAACACCCGAAGUCCGUAGCCUGACCGCAAGGGGGGCGCGGCCGAAGGUGGGUUCGAUAAUUGGGGUGAAGUCGUAACAAGGUAAC